rnacentral:piRNA from 1 species
UAGAUGUAUAAAAGCAAUGCCUGGUGU